AAUACAUCCUGGUGUGCUCUGCCUUGAAGUGUUUUUUUCCUGUCUGCCCAUCCAGCAUCUUAUUUAUGCCCCAUUCUGUCCCUCUCUCUCGUUGCCUUUGUUCUGUGGUCUCCUGGGUGAUGGAGUUAUUGUUUGUGUGUAGGGAUGUGUGGAUAAAAGGGAGCUGAUUUCUAGAGCCACAGGUUGAAGAUGACAGUAGAUCCUAAGGAACCUCAGUUCUAUCCCGAAAUGCGAAGGCCUUUUUACUCAACCACAAAGAAGUGGUCAGCAGAAAACUGGUCAUCCCGGCCUCUGGGGCCAUGCACAGCACUCAGGAGGAGCUACUAUUUUCCCUGCCUGUUUACAUGCGGCCUGGGGCCUUGUGGGCUAUUUGAAAAUUAGGACACGAGAAGUCCAAGCAGCACCUGAUAGACUGGGAGCUCCAUGAGGUCCGAGACAACCUGAAGACGCCCAGCUCAGCAGAGACUGGCUACGGCAAUCACUCAGUAACUAUUUGUUGAAUUGGACAUAAUAGAAGAGCUGAAGAAUUUUAAACAAGUCACCAUCAGUGCAGUGGAUUCCUCAAAGCAAACCUGGAAAUCUCGGCAUGAGUUGGAUUUAAGGCAGUACAUUUUCAGCUCCUGAAAAUUUGAACAGUUUCUCAAGAGAACAACUUGAAACAGAAAGGCAAGGAUGUAGAUGUGGUUGUAGAAGAUGAUGUCUGCGGCCACCAAACUGUCCACUGUGAAGACAAACCAUGCAUGUUUAGUAGGCAGUGGCUC
rnacentral:lncRNA from 10 species